rnacentral:rRNA from 2 species
UAAUCCGGGUUGCGGACAGUGUCUGGUGGGUAGUUUGACUGGGGCGGUCUCCUCCUAAAGAGUAACGGAGGAGCACGAAGGUUGGCUAAUCCUGGUCGGACAUCAGGAGGUUAGUGCAAUGGCAUAAGCCAGCUUGACUGCGAGCGUGACGGCGCGAGCAGGUGCGAAAGCAGGUCAUAGUGAUCCGGUGGUUCUGAAUGGAAGGGCCAUCGCUCAACGGAUAAAAGGUACUCCGGGGAUAACAGGCUGAUACCGCCCAAGAGUUCAUAUCGACGGCGGUGUUUGGCACCUCGAUGUCGGCUCAUCACAUCCUGGGGCUGAAGUAGGUCCCAAGGGUAUGGCUGUUCGCCAUUUAAAGUGGUACGCGAGCUGGGUUUAGAACGUCGUGAGACAGUUCGGUCCCUAUCUGCCGUGGGCGCUGGAGAACUGAGGGGGGCUGCUCCUAGUACGAGAGGACCGGAGUGGACGCAUCACUGGUGUUCGGGUUGUCAUGCCAAUGGCACUGCCCGGUAGCUAAAUGCGGAAGAGAUAAGUGCUGAAAGCAUCUAAGCACGAAACUUGCCCCGAGAUGAGUUCUCCCUGAGACUUAGAGUCUCCUGAAGGAACGUUGAAGACGACGACGUUGAUAGGCCGGGUGUGUAAGCGCAGCGAUGCGUUGAGCUAACCGGUACUAAUGAACCGUGAGGCUUAACCUUAC